rnacentral:rRNA from 1 species
AACGAACGCUGGCGGCGCGCCUAAUACAUGCAAGUCGAGCGAGAAGACGUAGCAAUACGUUUGUAAAGCGGCGAACGGGUGAGGAAUACAUGGGUAACCUACCCUCGAGUGGGGAAUAACUAGCCGAAAGGUUAGCUAAUACCGCGUACGCUCCUUGGACUUCGGUUCAGGGAGGAAAGCGAUACCGUGGGUAUCGCGCUCUUGGAUGGGCUCAUGUCCUAUCAGCUUGUUGGUGAGGUAACGGCUCACCAAGGCUUCGACGGGUAGCUGGUCUGAGAGGACGAUCAGCCACACUGGCACUGCGACACGGGCCAGACUCCUACGGGAGGCAGCAGUAAGGAAUAUUGCGCAAUGGGCGAAAGCCUGACGCAGCGACG